CCUACGGGAGGCAGCAGUAAGGAAUAUUGGUCAAUGGACGAAAGUCUGAACCAGCCAUGCCGCGUGGAGGAUGAAGGUCCUCUGGAUUGUAAACUUCUUUUAUCUGGGACGAAAAAAGGCCUUUCCAGGUCGUCUGACGGUACCAGAUGAAUAAGCACCGGCUAACUCCGUGCCAGCAGCCGCGGUAAUACGGAGGGUGCAAGCGUUAUCCGGAUUUACUGGGUUUAAAGGGUGCGUAGGUGGAUUGGUAAGUCCGUGGUGAAAUCCCCGAGCUUAACUUGGGAACUGCCGUGGAUACUAUCAAUCUUGAAUACCGUGGAGGUCAGUAGAAUAUGUCAUGUAGCGGUGAAAUGCUUAGAUAUGACAUAGAAUACCAAUUGCGAAGGCAGCUGGCUACACGAAUAUUGACACUGAGGCACGAAAGCGUGGGGAUCAAACAG
rnacentral:rRNA from 1 species